rnacentral:lncRNA from 1 species
AGGUACUCCAUUGUCUGACGGAUCUGAGAACGCUGUCUGGGCUUCGUGCCAAGGGCUGGUAUUCACACAGCAACGACGGCCUCACAGAAGAGCUGUGGGAAGCAGGAGGGCGAGCCUCUCUUAGGGUGCCACUACUAUGGAGACACAGCUGGGCUGAACAAGAUUUGCUUCAAACGACAACAAGAGAGACAGAAAGUAUCUGAUUCAACCGCUGCCCAAGCAGGCAGGCACCAGAAGAGCUAGCAGCCAAUCCGGCCAUGCUCGAAGCCAGUCCUGCAGCUCAGCCAAUCAGUGACAUCAUUGGACAUCUCUUCAGAUUGCUCAUCAUGAUAUGAAGAUGAAACUUAAUAGCAAUAACCAAUGGAUGCUUUUCUUGGAUUCAGUCCAACACUCUGGAGACCAGAUCUUCAGGAAUGUAACUGGGAUAAUUGUCCAAAUUGAAUCCCAUACCCUGUCAUGGUACUGAUUAUUAAGGUGACUAUAUGAAAGGAUCACUCCAAAAUAACACAUACCAGAAUAGGAGUCCUGUCUUAACUGAGCAAUAUACACUAUGGAGAGAUCCUUCAAAACCCGUCGGGACGAAUAACAGAUGAAUUCAUAAAACUGUUCAUCUCUGUUAUCCUGAAUGGUCACUCAGACAACAUUUUACUCAACUAUAAAGGGGAACACUUAAAGUGCAUAUGAGAAGAGAAGAGAAUGACCACAGGAGAAAAUCAUCUCAGGUAAAACGAAAAGGCACAAAUGUAGAGAGUAAUUAAUCUUAGAAUAUUAAAGAGAAAAUGAUUAUGUCUGUGUUUGGUAUAAGAAAUGGUCCUUCCCUUUAUGAAGCUACGUAUUUGGGAUUUUCACUGAUGGUUUUCCUUCAAGAGUUUACAGUAUUACUUGCCUUUGUCAACCUUUUGUUUGGUUUUGUGAUCAAUGCCCAGUGUCCAUCAUUCUGAGGACAUAUGUGUAUGUUGAUUUAUACAAUUCAGGUACAAGAUGGUUGAAUAGGAAGCUAUUUAAUGAAAAGGAAAAUAUGUUCUCAGUGGUUAUACAUUAUAAAAGGAAGUAAAAAUCUGAUAGAAAAGUAUAAGCUCAUAGUUUAUUUUUAAUCUUUUCCAUAUAUCUAGUAAGACAAUAAUGUCAAAGUAUAUUUUGUAGUAAUAAAAGCUACAGCCAGUGUUUCCUCUUUCUUUUUUUUAAACAUAAAAUGUAUAAAUAUAUAAGGAAAUACUUUUACUACAAUUGGAUGCAUGAUUGUUGAUUAUUUACUACAGUUUUAAUAAGUAGGAGAAUGAUUUGAAAAUAAAUAAUGGUGAAAAUUUGUGUAGGCCAAAUUAUCUGUAUUAAACUGGAGAAAAUACAUUCUAUUUUUAUUUAUUUCAAAACAUGCCAAAUCAUGAAGUAAUUACUAUGCAGUAUUAUUUUUCACAAUGAAGAUAUAAUUAAGAAAAGCUAAAUCAUUUUAGAUAUGAGUGCAAUGAUUAACGAUUGUACAACUUAUAAUUUUGCUUCAGAUGAGCUUAGAAUCCUAAAAAUGUACAUGUAACUGGCUUCAUGUGUGCUUACUGGCUUGCUUUCUUACAGUGUAGUAGCUGACAGAAUUAAGAAUCAUUUAUUUCAUUUCAACCUGUUGAACAGAGGAAUUAUAUGUAGCUGUGUAUUUUGUUGAAAGGAUAUAGUUCUUGGGAAAUAGAUUUAAAUGUGUUUUGUUGAAAGGGAAUGUAUGCUCCUUGGUGUGAUAUAAGCGACUACAAAUAUUCCAGAAUAGCAGGAAUAACACCGAUCAUGUCAUUGAUUUUAGGGUUUUUUGAUACCAUAUCUUUUCCUCACUGCUGUAAAAGUUUAAUUUCAUCCCCACUGUAGGCACAUGUCUGUACAUCUAGAAUUUGUGGGUUUUGUGUUCUUUACCUAGUCAACAAGACCUCAUUUGUUUAUAAAAAGCUAUAAUGUGACUAAAUCUCAAAAAUCAUUAACUGAGUUUUAUGUGAAUAAAUACAGUCACUCUAGUGCAUAUACAGUUUAAUAACUUCCUUUUUAGUUGUAGACUUAUCAUACUAUAUCUGUGCCUCACAACAGUAUAAUUCAUAUGUACAUAUAUUAGGUUCUCAAUUAGGACAUUUUAACAACAACGUUAAAAUAUUCACAGUUUAAAACAAAAGCAAUCUUUAAAAAAGAAAAAAUCAAGAAGAAAAGAGAGAAGUAAGAAAA